CUGCUGCCUUCCGUAGGAGUUUGGGCCGUGUCUCAGUCCCAAUGUGGCCGGUCACCCUCUCAGGUCGGCUACUGAUCGUCGCCUUGGUGAGCCGUUACCUCACCAACUAGCUAAUCAGACGCGGGUCCAUCUCAUACCACCGGAGUUUUUCACACAAAGAUAUGCAUCCCCGUGCGCUUAUGCGGUAUUAGCAGUCAUUUCUAACUGUUAUCCCCCUGUAUGAGGCAGGUUAUCCACGCGUUACUCACCCG
rnacentral:rRNA from 1 species